AUUGAACGCUGGCGGCAUGCUUUACACAUGCAAGUCGAACGGUAACAGGUUAAGCUGACGAGUGGCGAACGGGUGAGUAAUGCAUCGGAACGUGCCCGAUCGUGGGGGAUAACGCAGCGAAAGCUGCGCUAAUACCGCAUACGAUCUGAGGAUGAAAGCGGGGGACCGUAAGGCCUCGAGCGAUCGGAGCGGCCGAUGUCAGAGUAGGUAGCUGGUGGGGUAAAGGCUCACCAAGCCGAUGAUCUGUAGCUGGUCUGAGGGAACGACCAGCCAGACUGGGACUGAGACACGGCCCAGACGCCUACGGGAGGCAGCAGUGGGGAAUUUUGGACAAUGGGAGAAAGCCUGAUCCAGCAAUGCCGCGUGCAGGAAGAAGGCCUUCGGGUUGUAAACUGCUUUUGUACGGAACGAAAAGGCUCUCUCUAAUACAGGGGGCUCAUGACGGUACCGUAAGAAUAAGCACCGGCUAACUACGUGCCAGCAGCCGCCGCAGUAA
rnacentral:rRNA from 1 species